rnacentral:rRNA from 1 species
GACGAACGCUGGCGGCGUGCUUAACACAUGCAAGUCGAACGGAAAGGCCCUGCUUUUGUGGGGUGCUCGAGUGGCGAACGGGUGAGUAACACGUGAGUAACCUGCCCUUGACUUUGGGAUAACUUCAGGAAACUGGGGCUAAUACCGGAUAGGGGCUCCUGCUGCAUGGUGGGGGUUGGAAAGUUUCGGCGGUUGGGGAUGGACUCGCGGCUUAUCAGCUUGUUGGUGGGGUAGUGGCUUACCAAGGCUUUGACGGGUAGCCGGCCUGAGAGGGUGACCGGCCACAUUGGGACUGAGAUACGGCCCAGACUCCUACGGGAGGCAGCAGUGGGGAAUAUUGCACAAUGGGCGGAAGCCUGAUGCAGCAACGCCGCGUGCGGGAUGACGGCCUUCGGGUUGUAAACCGCUUUCGCCUGUGACGAAGCGUGAGUGACAGUAAUGGGUAAAGAAGCACCGGCUAACUACGUG